UGGGGAAUAUUGCACAAUGGGGGAAACCCUGAUGCAGCGACGCCGCGUGGAGGAAGAAGGUCUUCGGAUUGUAAACUCCUGUUGUUGAGGAAGAUAAUGACGGUACUCAACAAGGAAGUGACGGCUAACUACGUGCCAGCAGCCGCGGUAAAACGUAGGUCNCAAGCGUUGUCCGGAAUUACUGGGUGUAAAGGGAGCGCAGGCGGGAGAACAAGUUGGAAGUGAAAUCCAUGGGCUCAACCCAUGAACUGCUUUCAAAACUGUUUUUCUUGAGUAGUGCAGAGGUAGGCGGAAUUCCCGGUGUAGCGGUGGAAUGCGUAGAUAUCGGGAGGAACACCAGUGGCGAAGGCGGCCUACUGGGCACCAACUGACGCUGAGGCUCGAAAGUGUGGGUAGCAAACAGGAUUAGAUACCCUGGUAGUCCACACCGUAAACGAUGAUUACUAGGUGUUGGAGGAUUGACCCCUUCAGUGCCGCAGUUAACACAAUAAGUAAUCCACCUGGGGAGUACGACCGCAAGGUUGAAACUCAAAGGAAUUGACGGA
rnacentral:rRNA from 1 species